rnacentral:rRNA from 1 species
AAUCCUACGGGGGGCAGCAGUGAGGAAUAUUGGUCAAUGGGCGGGAGCCUGAACCAGCCAAGUCGCGUGAGGGAAGACGGUCCUAUGGAUUGUAAACCUCUUUUGUCGGGGAGCAAAGAGAUCACGUGUGGUCAAAAGCGAGAGUACCCGAAGAAAAAGCAUCGGCUAACUCCGUGCCAGCAGCCGCGGUAAUACGGAGGAUGCGAGCGUUAUCCGGAUUUACUGGGUGUAAAGGGCGUGCAGCCGGAGAGACAAGUCAGAUGUGAAAUCCACGGGCUCAACCCGUGAACUGCAUUUGAA